GGCUCAGCAGUCGGGUCUUCCUUCAAUGGUUGUACUCGAGUGCUUUGCCUUAUCUUCUAGGCUCGCGUCGCAAGGCGCAAGAUUCUAGGACUUUUACUGUGAAUAAAUUAGAGUGUUCAAAGCAGGCGCUCACGCUUGUAUACAUUAGCAUGGAAUAAUGGAAUAGGACUGUGGUCCCGUUUUGUUGGUUUUCAGGACCGCGGUA
rnacentral:rRNA from 1 species